rnacentral:rRNA from 1 species
UACAGAGGUGGCAAGCGUUGUUCGGAAUUACUGGGCGUAAAGGGCGCGUAGGCGGUCUUGUAAGUCUUGUGUGAAAUCCCUCGGCUUAACUGAGGAACUGCACGGGAUACUGCAUGACUUGAGAUCGGGAGAGGGAAGCGGAAUUCCGGGUGUAGCGGUGAAAUGCGUAGAUAUCCGGAGGAACACCGGUGGCGAAGGCGGCAUCCUGGACCGGUAUUGACGCUGAUGCGCGAAAGCCAGGGGAGCAAACGGG